rnacentral:rRNA from 1 species
AGCAUGUGGUUUAAUUCGAAGCAACGGCGAAGAACCUUACCAGGUCUUGACAUCCCGAUGCUAUUCCUAGAGAUAGAAAGUUACUUCGGUACAUCGGUGACAGGUGGUGCAUGGUUGUCGUCAGCUCGUGUCGUGAGAUGUUGGGUUAAGUCCCGCAACGAGCGCAACCCCUGUGGUUAGUUGCCAGCAAGUAGCGUUGGGCACUCUAGCCAGACUGCCGGUGAUAAAUCGGAGGAAGGUGGGGACGACGUCAAAUCAUCAUGCCCUUUAUGUCCUGGGCUACACACGUACUACAAUGGCCGUUACAACGGGAAGCGAAGGAGCAAUCCGGAGCAAAUCCCUUAAAGGCGGUCCCAGUUCAGAUUGUGGGCUGAAACUCGCCCACAUGAAGGCGGAAUUGCUAGUAAUUGCAGAUCAGCAUGCUGCAGUGAAUACGUUCCCGGGCCUU